AAAAAAUAUACACCGUGGUGCAAUGUCUUCUUUUCGGCAAUUGAACUACCAGCAAUGCCAGACGCUGGACCAGUGGCUGCUGACCUACGGAGUAAUGCUGAACCACCGGACACGUCACGAAUUCAGCGACGUUUUGCCAGUGGCUAGACUCUUCAACAAGGUCCAUCCAGGACGAGUGGACCUAAACAGAUAUGUAUCCCGGAACAGUGUGGCCAUGAAAGCAAGUAACUGGCGUAUUUUCAAUGCACGAGUCCUGAAGAAAAUGAAUAUGGGCCUCACGCCAAAGGAUGAGGAUAAGUUGGCCAGCGCCGUGGAUUGGGUCCAGGAUGCGCUUCUCUACAGGCUGAUGAUGACUGUUGAGGAGAUAGCCGAUGUUGGGCAAGAUUUCUCGUAUAAGAACAGUGCUCCUAAAACCAAGAAGAAAAACCAAGAAACCCUUAUGUAAAUGGUUUCAACGGUGUCACAAGAUGACUACGCUUGGAAACCUUUAAUAAUAUUCACGAGAUUUUGAAUACUUUUCAAUGGUUGUACUUGUGCUCGGACUUGUGCUCAAUGUCAAAGGACCGAUCCCCACGGACGAACAUUUGGUAGAGGACCGAGCCUGAGCAUCGAACCAGUCGAAAAGUGUUUUCAAUAAUCGACAGAAUGGGAUUUUGCUAGAACUUGCUGGAAGAUUUGGAUGAUUACAUGGAUUCAACAUAAGAAUUUUGCAAGAACAAACAUUUAUUUCAUGUACAACAAAAUUAGUGAAUGUGUGAAGAGAUCUCUCGGAGCAUAAGGACAACAAUAGCUUGACAUAUUUAUUAUGGUCCUGUGGAAGAAAAUGUGUCAAGGGAAAAUUAACCAAGGCUUCAGGUUUUGUUGAUGAACUGCUUGCAGAAUAAUUUCAAGCGUAAAGGGACCAAACCUUCAGGUUUCAGUAGGGCACUGCUUGAACUAAGCCUGCAGGUUUCAGCAGCGCACUGCUUGAACAAAACCUUCAGGUUUCAGCAGCGCGCUUCUUGGUCCCGUGCUUGUGAACCAAGGCUUCAGGUUUCGUUGAUGAACUGCUUGCAGAAUAAUUUUAAACGAGAAGGGGCCAAACCUUUAGGCUUCAGCAGCGCACUGCUUGAACCAAACCUUCAGGCUUAGUCGCUACUCAAUGAUGAAGCAGAAUUAAUCAUUUCGAAUGGAUAAAUAUAAAUAAAUAAAU